AUCCCCGAGCCGGAGGGGGGCAGCCCCAGCCCCGCACGGUGCCCAGCGCUCGGCAGGGCACUGGGAGCUGCUGCCGGCACCACAGCACAGCCACGGCGCCUGGCACAGCCCAGCAGAGCUCCCCGGGGCCCUCAGGCCACCAGUGACCCUGGCAGCAGGAGGCAGGCUGAGGUAUGAUCAGCACAUUCAUUACCAGCAAUCAGGAGCGAGCAGUUAAUGAGCCACACACGGAAACACGAACAACAACACCCUGCAUGUGCACAAGGCAGGGCUGUGCAGAACUCCCUGUUCUGGUUUUAACAUAUAAAGCUUCCAAUGUCAAGAUAACAGAUGGGACAAUGCUUGAAAGAAAACAGGAACAGAAAGAAAAUCAAGGUUUACUUCUAACAUAUCUCACCAGUGGGAGAGUAAAGCAAAAGUGUUUAGAGUAGGAGUAGUGCCUCUCUGAAGAACACCAGGGGGAGACUGACAGACUGCAUCCAAAAACAGUAUCAGAUGAAGAAGGCUUACCAGUUAUCAUAGCACUGAAACCUGGUGUAAGGAAGGCUGCAUAUCCACCCAGCAAAUUCCGUUGCUGGCAGUCUGUUUCUUUGCACAUCUGAGCAAGAGUCACUUUGUAGAGUCAGCAUCCACAGCACCAAGAGGAUCCAGCGCAUUCCAGUGCACGGCAAUCCUCCAGAGUGCCCUACUGGCAAGAAGGCCAGGAGUGCUGAGAGAACACAGUGGGACAGCUGAUCCCAACUCACCAAAGGGACAUCCUCACACCACAGGAGGUCAUGCUCAGCAGUAAAACUGGGAGUGGGGGUUGGAAGUUGGCCAGAGCUGCUGUUGCUCAGAGAAUGUCUGGGAAUCUGUUACUUGGUGGACUUCAGAAUAGGAUGAUUCCUGAAGGAGUGGGUAAAUGAAUCCAGACUCUUCAAAAACAGCUCUGAAUAACCAAAAAUCCUGAGCACACCCACCAAUAUAGCUUCAGAAGAGAAGACCUUCAAUAUCUCAGUGUAAUUGUACUCACUAGAAUUUCUGUCUUAAAGAGCUUUGAUUUUAGGAAACAUAGUACUUAUGACUAUCUAUUAAACAUGAUUUAGUAAUAUAACAUAAUAAACUGAGGUUUAUAUAAACUUCACAUAAGUUCUGUUUAAGCAUAUUGAGCUUUUAGAGGUAUGGUUUAAUUUACAAAAUAAAUAUAAAAAGAGUAGCACCUAUCCAGAGAUGCUUACAUCAAAUUCUCUAUGAAGAUGGUGUUUGUAUAUAAACAAAAAGUUCCAUAAACUAAUAUUAUAGAGGAGAGAGUUAGUGAAGUUACAGAUUUGUCCUAGAAGAAAGCUAAUAUUAUUCUACCAAAAUCUGCUUCCUUCAUUCUCCUGUAAAAUAUCUUUUUCUCAGAGUAAAAGAAAAAUUAUAGAGAUUUCCUAAACAAAUCUUAUAUACAGCUAGAAGAGCUGUCCUAAUUCAAACCAAAAUUACACACAUUCCAGCACUUUAACAGCUAUCACAACAGGAAAUGCCAAGAAAAUAGGGUAAGAAAAGGGCAAGCACAUAUAGUCCAACCUUCUUCCAUUUCCAUGUCAAAGAUUUUCCUAAAAUGCCAUUUCUAAGGAUCAAGUUUCUAUUCUGUAUUUAGCAAUCUCAAAUGGAUCUCUCCUCUGCUUUUGUUCAGACUCUGUUCUGUUCCUCCUUCUGCACCCAUACCAUACUUUGACACAAAAAAUGCACAAACAUUUAGCAACACACAAAGUAGUCAAGAGUUAAAGGUUCCUGUUUCAAGAAUUAUUCUUAGGGAAUAAUUCCAUUCUGCCAUCACUGCAGAGCAGGAACUCUUUCAGGAUUUUACACCUGAUUCAGCCCCUCUCCAUUUAAAGUCUUGCAAUUUACUGACUAAGGACAUGCGUAAAACAAAUGCUGUCCCCACUGCAAGGGGAAUUAGAAGUUUAUUGUAGCCUCUAAUCAUUAGUUCCAAACCCUUGAAUCUGAGCACAAAAUUGUUGUAUAAAUAGAAGGUUAGACUAGAACUCACAUGCUCAGCAUUCUAAUUUCUGGCUGUGCACCUGGCAAAUCACUUUACUGCUCUGUGCUUCAGCAUCUCAGUCUGUAAAAUGGGAAUAAUACAGCUGAUUUCCUUUGAAAAGAAUUUCAGGUCUAUUAUGAAAAGCU